rnacentral:RNase_P_RNA from 1 species
UGAGCAGGCCAUGUGGCCGCUGCCCUUGGCAGGAGCAGAUGCCAGGGGGAGAGGAAAGUCCGGGCUCCAUAGGGCAAGAGGGCUGCUAACGGCAGCCGGGGGCAACCCCAGGGAAAGUGCAACAGAAAACAUACCGCCUGUGGUUAAUAGCUGCAGGUAAGGGUGAAAAGGCGAGGUAAGGGCUCACCACUUUUAUCGGUAACGAUGAGAGUUUGUAAACCCCCUCUGGAGAAAGGUGGAAUAGGAUUUGCUUUUUGGGCAGCCCACCCAAUUCCAUAGAAAUAUGGAAGGCAAACGGGUACCAACCGCAUAAGUGAGCGGGCGACCGUUCAGUUUAGAUGAAUGGCCACAUGAAACAGAAUCCGGCUUAUGGCCUGCUCAUAAA